rnacentral:rRNA from 1 species
UGGGGAAUAUUGGACAAUGGGGGAAACCCUGAUCCAGCAAUGCCGCGUGAGUGAAGAAGGCCUUAGGGUUGUAAAGCUCUUUCGCCCGCGAAGAUAAUGACGGUAGCGGGAGAAGAAGCCCCGGCUAACUCCGUGCCAGCAGCCGCGGUAAUACGGAGGGGGCUAGCGUUGUUCGGGAUUACUGGGCGUAAAGCGUACGUAGGCGGAUGCGCAAGUUGGGGGUGAAAUCCCGGGGCUUAACCUCGGAAUUGCCCUCAAAACUGCACGUCUUGAGACCGAGAGAGGUAAGGGGAAUUCCUAGUGUAGAGGUGAAAUUCGUAGAUAUUAGGAAGAACACCAGUGGCGAAGGCGCCUUACUGGCUCGGUACUGACGCUGAGGUACGAAAGCGUGGGGAGCAAACA